UACGUAGGGUGCAAGCGUUGUCCGGAAUUAUUGGGCGUAAAGAGUUCGUAGGCGGUUUGUCGCGUCUGCUGUGAAAACUCGGGGCUUAACCUCGGGCCUGCAGUGGGUACGGGCAGACUAGAGUGCGGUAGGGGAGACUGGAAUUCCUGGUGUAGCGGUGAAAUGCGCAGAUAUCAGGAGGAACACCGGUGGCGAAGGCGGGUCUCUGGGCCGUAACUGACGCUGAGGAGCGAAAGCAUGGGGAGCGAACAGG
rnacentral:rRNA from 1 species